GCGAAAACUUUACAAUGCUGGCAACAGCGAUAAGGGAACCUCGAGUGCCAGGUUACAAAUCUGGCUGUCGAGAUGCCUAAAAAGCAUUUCAUAGCAAGGGCCGGGCAAGACCGGUGCCAGCCGCCGCGGUAACACCGGCGGCUCGAGUGGUAACCGUUAUUAUUGGGUCUAAAGGGUCUGUAGCCGGCCGGAUAAGUCUCUUGAGAAAUCUGGCAGCUUAACUGUCAGGCUUUCAGGAGAUACUGUCUGGCUCGAGGCCGGGAGAGGUGAGAGGUACUUCAGGGGUAGGGGUGAAAUCUUGUAAUCCUUGAAGGACCACCAGUGGCGAAGGCGUCUCACCAGAACGGACCUGACAUCAAGGGACGAACGCUAGGGGCACGAACC
rnacentral:rRNA from 1 species